rnacentral:rRNA from 1 species
GGAGGGUGCGAGCGUUGUUCGGAAUCACUGGGCGUAAAGGGCGUGUAGGCGGUCCGCUAAGUCUGAUGUGAAAGCCCGGGGCUCACCCCCGGAAGUGCAUUGGAAACUGGCGAACUCGAGUCCCGGAGAGGAGAGUGGAAUUCCUGGUGUAGCGGUGAAAUGCGUAGAUAUCAGGAGGAACACCGGUGGCGAAGGCGGCUCUCUGGACGGUGACUGACGCUGAGACGCGAAAGCGUGGGGAGCAAACAGGAUUAGAUACCCUGGUAGUCCACGCUGUAAACGAUGAGCACUAGGUGUCGUGGGUAUUGACCCCCGCGGUGCCGCAGCUAACGCAUUAAGUGCUCCGCCUGGGGACUACGGCCGCAAGGUUA